CGCGUGUGUGAAGAAGGCCUUCGGGUUGUAAAGCACUUUCAGCGGGGAGGAAGGGCNGUNGGUUAAUACCCUGCUGUAUUGACGUUACUCNCAGAAUAAGCACCGGCUAACUCCGUGCCAGCAGCCGCGGUAAUACGGAGGGUGCAAGCGUUAAUCGGAAUUACUGGGCGUAAAGCGCGCGNAGGCGGUUUGUUAAGUCNGAUGUGAAAUCCCCGGGCUCAACCUGGGAACUGCAUUCGAAACUGGCAAGCUAGAGUCNGGUAGAGGGGGGUGGAAUUCCCGGUGUAGCGGUGAAAUGCGUAGAGAUCUGGAGGAACACCGGUGGCGAAGUCG
rnacentral:rRNA from 1 species